UACGAAGGGGGCUAGCGUUGCUCGGAAUCACUGGGCGUAAAGGGCGCGUAGGCGGCGUUUUUAAGUCGGGGGUGAAAGCCUGUGGCUCAACCACAGAAUGGCCCUCGAUACUGGGACGCUUGAGUAUGGUAGAGGUUGGUGGAACUGCGAGUGUAGAGGUGAAAUUCGUAGAUAUUCGCAAGAACACCGGUGGCGAAGGCGGCCAACUGGACCAUUACUGACGCUGAGGCGCGAAAGCGUGGGGAGCAAACAGG
rnacentral:rRNA from 1 species